CAAUUCUUACGCCGCCGGCGAGCCAUUCAACUCAUUUGAAGUUAGCUGAGUUAAUUCCCUCAAAUGAGCAAAAAUACCUGAAUCUGCUCCAAGGUCAGAAUUUUAUUUGGUGAUUCUCUUCUCAAAAAGAUGGCGAGCGACCGACGCACUGCUUCGAGGCCAGGCUUCUCCCUUUGAUGUCAAGCUAAGGAAAAAAAGCAUCUAGUCCACGGACCUGUUCUGGGGAGAUUCCAGCCAGGAACCCCACCACCUAUUCUGUCUGGGCUGGUAAGAGGCUCUCAAGCCACCCUCUACACACUUAAGCGCCAAAACCGUACCACAUGGACUGUACUGCUUAUACUGUCUCCAAGAACUUUAAUAUCUCAGCUGAGGUUAAACCAGAUCCAAAGACACUUAAUCAUUGAAUUGAUAUUGCGUCUAUGUUUAUAGUAAUUGUUUCCUUCAAACUGCUCUCACGUUGAAUGACCAUUCAACUCAUUGUUGUGCGUGUAUAUGUAUAGAUGCUGUCCAUCACUAACAAUUUAAUACAGGGUGACAAGCAAACAGUUAUUCAGUCUCUGCCUUCUCUCUUUGAGUCAAAACUCGAGUCUUCUGUUCCUAGCCCAUAACACCCCAUAUAUUUUACAUUGCUUUGUUGCAUGUAUAGGUUACACCAGCAUCAAGUCCUGCUCAAGCCAAGCCCACCCCCGGUUUCAGGUCCUGUUCAAGCCAACUUUGUUCCUGUUUUCAGGUCCUGCUCAAGCUA